AGAGUUUGAUCAUGGCUCAGAAUCAACGCUGGCGGCGCGCCUAACACAUGCAAGUCAAACGGGAAAGUGGGCAACCAUGAGUACAGUGGCGUACGGGUGAGUAACACGUGGGUGAUCUACCUCUUAGUGGGGAAUAACCCUGGGAAACCGGGGCUAAUACCGCAUAAGCUCGAGAGAGGAAAGCAGCAAUGCGCUGAGAGAGGAGCCCGCGGCCGAUUAGCUAGUUGGUAGGGUAAAAGCCUACCAAGGCAAAGAUCGGUAGCCGGCCUGAGAGGGCACACGGCCACACUGGCACUGAAACACGGGCCAGACUCCUACGGGAGGCAGCAGUGGGGAAUCUUGCACAAUGGGGGAAACCCUGAUGCAGCGACGCCGCGUGAGCGAUGAAGCCCUUCGGGGUGUAAAGCUCUUUCGGCAGGGAAGAUUAUGACGGUACCUGCAGAAGCAGCUGCGGCUAACUACGUGCCAGCAGCCGCGGUAAUACGUAGGCAGCAAGCGUUGUUCGGAGUUACUGGGCGUAAAGGGUGUGUAGGCGGUUCUUUAAGUUUGGUGUGAAAUCUCCCGGCUCAACCGGGAGGGUGCGCCGAAUACUGAGGGACUUGGAGUGCGGGAGAGGAAAGUGGAAUUCCUGGUGUAGCGGUGAAAUGCGUAGAUAUCAGGAGGAACACCGGUGGUGUAGACGGCUUUCUGGACCGUAACUGACGCUGAGACACGAAAGCGUGGGUAGCAAACAGGAUUAGAUACCCUGGUAGUCCACGCCCUAAACGAUGCAUAUUUGGUGUGGGCAGUUCAUUCUGUCCGUGCCGGAGCUAACGCGUUAAAUAUGCCGCCUGGGGAGUACAGUCGCAAGGCUGAAACUCAAGGAAUUGACGGGGGCCCGCACAAGCGGUGGAGCAUGUGGUUCAAUUCGACGCAACGCGAAGAACCUUACCUGGGCUCGAACGGGUAGUCAACGGCGGUGGAAACAUCGCUACUC
rnacentral:rRNA from 1 species